GCGGCGGACGGGUGAGUAACACGUGGGUAACCUGCCUGUAAGACUGGGAUAACUCCGGGAAACCGGGGCUAAUACCGGAUGGUUGUUUGAACCGCAUGGUUCAGACAUAAAAGGUGGCUUCGGCUACCACUUACAGAUGGACCCGCGGCGCAUUAGCUAGUUGGUGAGGUAACGGCUCACCAAGGCGACGAUGCGUAGCCGACCUGAGAGGGUGAUCGGCCACACUGGGACUGAGACACGGCCCAGACUCCUACGGGAGGCAGCAGUAGGGAAUCUUCCGCAAUGGACGAAAGUCUGACGGAGCAACGCCGCGUGAGUGAUGAAGGUUUUCGGAUCGUAAAGCUCUGUUGUUAGGGAAGAACAAGUGCCGUUCAAAUAGGGCGGCACCUUGACGGUACCUAACCAGAAAGCCACGGCUAACUACGUGCCAGCAGCCGCGGUAAUACGUAGGUGGCAAGCGUUGUCCGGAAUUAUUGGGCGUAAAGGGCUCGCAGGCGGUUUCUUAAGUCUGAUGUGAAAGCCCCCGGCUCAACCGGGGAGGGUCAUUGGAAACUGGGGAACUUGAGUGCAGAAGAGGAGAGUGGAAUUCCACGUGUAGCGGUGAAAUGCGUAGAGAUGUGGAGGAACACCAGUGGCGAAGGCGACUCUCUGGUCUGUAACUGACGCUGAGGAGCGAAAGCGUGGGGAGCGAACAGGAUUAGAUACCCUGGUAGUCCACGCCGUAAACGAUGAGUGCUAAGUGUUAGGGGGUUUCCGCCCCUUAGUGCUGCAGCUAACGCAUUAAGCACUCCGCCUGGGGAGUACGGUCGCAAGACUGAAACUCAAAGGAAUUGACGGGGGCCCGCACAAGCGGUGGAGCAUGUGGUUUAAUUCGAAGCAACGCGAAGAACCUUACCAGGUCUUGACAUCCUCUGACAAUCCUAGAGAUAGGACGUCCCCUUCGGGGGCAGAGUGACAGGUGGUGCAUGGUUGUCGUCAGCUCGUGUCGUGAGAUGUUGGGUUAAGUCCCGCAACGAGCGCAACCCUUGAUCUUAGUUGCCAGCAUUCAGUUGGGCACUCUAAGGUGACUGCCGGUGACAAACCGGAGGAAGGUGGGGAUGACGUCAAAUCAUCAUGCCCCUUAUGACCUGGGCUACACACGUGCUACAAUGGACAGAACAAAGGGCAGCGAAACCGCGAGGUUAAGCCAAUCCCACAAAUCUGUUCUCAGUUCGGAUCGCAGUCUGCAACUCGACUGCGUGAAGCUGGAAUCGCUAGUAA
rnacentral:rRNA from 1 species